AAGUCGUAACAAGGUUUCCGUAGGUGAACCUGCGGAAGGAUCAUUAAUGGUCAUGCCCUUCGGGGUAGACCCUCCCACCCCCCUGUUUACCCGUACCCCGUUGCUUUGGCGGUCCCCGUCGCAAGACGGGCCGCAGGGACCUUUAAACCCGUAUUAUCAUUGUCGUCUGAGUAUAUACAAUAGUUAAAA
rnacentral:misc_RNA from 1 species